UGCUCAAUGAUGAUCAUCCUCCUUUGAUUACCUGGUGAGGUAAUAUGAGAGGACAUGGAAUAAUUUCACCGGCGAACUGAGAGCA
rnacentral:snoRNA from 1 species